CACAGCCCACGCAGAUUGGCGCUACUACAAAGUCAUCUGCAGCCUCAGCGGGCUGCUGAGCAGCCUGCUCUCACAGGCUGGGAGCUGGGCAUUUUAUUCUCCAUGUGAUUGAUGCCGGCACAACUUGGCACACAAUGCGCCCGCCAUUCAUGGUGACUGAGAAGGGUUGUCUGGACCAAACGGAUGAGUCGCAUACUCAGGUGACUUCUUGUGAACUCCACCCCACCCCCAAUGAAUAAAGGGACCAAUCACUGGAGACCUGACAUGGUGAUUUUCUUUGAAGAAAAAGACGGCAACUUCCAGAAAUGAGUACUGUGGUUUAGAAAGAAAGCACCUGACCUUGUGGCGAGAGUUCAUCUUGUUCUGUUCUACUUAAAAAGAAAUACAGAAGAUGAAGAAAGAAGGAAAAAAAUAUUCCACUGGGUGAUGGUGAUCCAUGUCUUUAAUCGCAGCACUCAGGAGGCAGAGGCAGGUGGAUCCCUGAGUUCGAGGCCAGCCUGGUCUCCAGAGCAAGUUCCAGGACAGCCAGGGCUACACAGAGGAACCCUA
rnacentral:lncRNA from 7 species